CCGCAAUCGCCCUUUGCACCAGGCGCGAAAACUUUGCAAUACACGAAAGUGUGACAGGGUUAUCCCGAGUGCCGACCGCUGAGGUUGGCUUUUACCCAGUCUAGAAAGCUGGGGGAAUAAGGAGAGGGCAAGUCUGGUGUCAGCCGCCGCGGUAAUACCAGCUCUCCGAGUGGUGUGGACGUUUAUUGGGCCUAAAGCAUCCGUAGCUGGCUGAACAAGUCCCCUGUUAAACCCACCGAUUUAAUCGUUGGCGUGCGGGGGAUACUGCUCGGCUAGGGGACGAGAGAGGCAGACGGUAUUCCCGGGGUAGGGGUGAAAUCCUAUAAUCCCGAGAAGACCACCAGUGGCGAAGGCUGUCUGCUAGAGCGCGCCCGACGGUGAGGGAUGAAAGCUGGGGGAGCGAACCGGAUUAGAUACCCGGGUAGUCCCAGCUGUAAACGAUGCAGACUAGGUGUUUGGACGGCCACGUGCCGUUCUAGUGCCGCAGGGAAGCUGUUAAGUCUGCCGCCUGGGGAGUACGAUCGCAAGAUUGAAACUUAAAGGAAUUGGCGGGGGAGCAC
rnacentral:rRNA from 1 species